rnacentral:rRNA from 1 species
CAGUCGCACGGUAAUACGAACCGUGCGAACGUUAUUCGGAAUUACUGGGCUUAAAGCGCGUGUAGGCGGGCCGCCACGUCGGUUGCUGAAAUCCCCCGGCUCAACCGGGGAAGUGGCAUCGAUACGAGCGGCCUUGAGGGGGGUAGGGGGAUCUGGAACUUCCGGUGGAGCGGUGAAAUGCGUUGAGAUCGGAAGGAACGCCCGUGGCGAAAGCGAGGUCCUGGACCCUUUCUGACGCUGAGACGCGAAAGCCAGGGGAGCGAACGGGAUUAGAGACCCGAGUAGUCCCUGUCUCUUAUAA